AGAGUUUGAUCCUGGCUCAGGACGAACGCUGGCGGCGUGCCUAAUACAUGCAAGUAGAACGCUGAAGGAAGGAGCUUGCUCUUUCCGGAAGAGUUGCGAACGGGUGAGUAACGCGUAGGUAACCUACCUUUUAGUGGGGGAUAACUAUUGGAAACGAUAGCUAAUACCGCAUAAGACAUUUUACUGCAUGGUAAGAUGUUAAAAGAUGCAAAUGCAUCACUAAGAGAUGGACCUGCGUUGUAUUAGCUAGUAGGUGAGGUAACGGCUCACCUAGGCGACGAUACAUAGCCGACCUGAGAGGGUGAUCGGCCACACUGGGACUGAGACACGGCCCAGACUCCUACGGGAGGCAGCAGUAGGGAAUCUUCGGCAAUGGACGGAAGUCUGACCGAGCAACGCCGCGUGAGUGAAGAAGGUUUUCGGAUCGUAAAGCUCUGUUGUAAGAGAAGAACGAGUGUGAGAGUGGAAAGUUCACACUGUGACGGUAUCUUACCAGAAAGGGACGGCUAACUACGUGCCAGCAGCCGCGGUAAUACGUAGGUCCCGAGCGUUGUCCGGAUUUAUUGGGCGUAAAGCGAGCGCAGGUGGUUUAUUAAGUCUGGUGUAAAAGGCAGUGGCUCAACCAUUGUAUGCAUUGGAAACUGGUAGACUUGAGUGCAGGAGAGGAGAGUGGAAUUCCAUGUGUAGCGGUGAAAUGCGUAGAUAUAUGGAGGAACACCGGUGGCGAAAGCGGCUCUCUGGUCUGUAACUGACGCUGAGGCUCGAAAGCGUGGGGAGCAAACAGGAUUAGAUACCCUGGUAGUCCACGCCGUAAACGAUGAGUGCUAAGUGUUGGUCUCAUAAGAGAUCAGUGCUGCAGCUAACGCAUUAAGCACUCCGCCUGGGGAGUACGACCGCAAGGUUGAAACUCAAAGGAAUUGACG
rnacentral:rRNA from 1 species